ensembl:lncRNA
UUCAGACUUGUGUGAUAUUCGCAGUGGUAAGAACUGAACAGCCCUUUCCUUUAGUCUGUAGGAUGCAACUACAAGCAGAAGGUUUAGAUCAACAUACAUGUGGGUCCCAGACUCAGAUCCUGAUACCGAUGCUGACUUUCCCUAUGGCUUAAGGUGCUUACAGCAAGAACGGUGUUGGUCUCUUCUCACUGGUGACAGGUGACAGGAAGAGGGGAAAUGGCCUCAAGUUGCACCAGGAACAAGGAUCUAUGAGGAACACAAGCCUUUAUCUCAUGCAUGCUGAAUACAAUCUGUUCACUCAGAGCCACAUGAGAGGAGGGAAUAGUGCCUGCUAGGAUCCAGCUCUCAAAAUGUGUGAACAGUGGACAGGAUCACCCACUCCACUUUGGAUAGUGUUGAUCACUGUGAAUUCUCACUGAAUGCAAAACAAUGAUGAGUCAAAUCCUGCCAUAUAAGCCGGAUGAAAUAUUCCCACUUAAUAGUAACGUCUGAGUAAAAUCUUAAACUGUCACCCAGGCAGUUUGCCUUCUCUUCAUCUUAACUUAAGAAAAUGCAUAUCCUAGAACACACAUCUAAAGUGACACAGAGCUUCAAUAAGUGAACACAGACAUCCUUUGAAGUCUCCUCAAUCCUUCCAAGUCCUCAGGCCAUUUCAAAGUGUGUUCUGGGAAAGGAAUAAGUGCAAGAGUUGGACCACCUGCCUUGGCACCAGAACAGUGACCUAAUUGUCCCUUCCCAAAUAUACAAAGAAGGCAGGAAGCAGUUUCAGUUUCUUAAUUCCAGUUUUGUGAAGGCAUCUCCCUACUUGCCUGAGCUCACUGUUGCUGUUCAAGGAAGAGACAGAUUCUUUACACAGCCUUUCUUUUGAGCAUUUCCUAUCAACUAGCUCCUGUCUUCAUAAGGUGCCCUGUGUUUGGCACUUACCUCUCUUCAGAACUUGGAUGCCUCAUUUGAAUUAUGCUCUCUCACCAAACAGCUCCAGCUAUCAUAAAAUCUAAAUCCCCCGUUCUUAUUCCAAAUCCCAGGACUGGACAACCUCUAUAUUUUCUAUAUUAAUUGAAGAUAGGCAAAGGUGUGGGGAAGCUGGGAGCAGAAGAAAAUGAAUUAUACUGAAUGACAUUAACAUACAUUAUUAAUAGAAGAAUAUGAUGAAAAUAAAAACAUAGUAACUGAAUCAAUUGAGAUGACUUGUGACCAGGUUGGAUGGGGCCGCAGGCAGUGUGAUCUAGUAUUAGAUAUGGAGGUUGGCGGCCCUGCCUGCAGCAGGGGGAUUGGAGCUAAAUGAUCCUUGAGGACACUUCCAACCCAAGCCAUUCUACAGUUCUAUGAUUAUGAUUCUAUUACUUAUGGAGAGAGUGUUAGGAGGAAGAGCAAGAAGGAGAUCAUAGGUGGAAAAGACUUAGAAGGAAGGAAAAUUGGAAAGAUAAGCAAACAGAAUGAGGAAAAAAACCAACAGAAGAAAUUAGUAGAAUCAUAAAAUAAUUCUGAAGAAAAUCAGGUUGAAGAAAUGCCACAAUAAAGCCUGAGCUGAGCUGUUUUGAGGUCUGUUCCCUGUUGUAGAUAUCUGUACAUUUAGCUCUGAACUUUCUCAAGUGUUUGAUUCCACUUAACUGAACUGGAACGCUCUAAUACUGUACACUACCUCAUAGAGAUUGACAAAAAAAGUGUUGACUGGGACACUGGUGAUUGCUCACUCUGGAUAGGUCCACAUCCCUCUGCUUAUAUCCCCUUGAAUUUUGUAACAAUGGCAUAAACUCAUUCUACCAGCAUCCACACAAUAUCUAAAUGUUGUAUGAAGCAAAUUGAUCCAAAAGUUGUGUAUGCCAGUUUUAGCUCUUCCAGCAGGUAUCUAAUACAUUUCAAAGCACGAUGUUUUAGUAUGUUUGAAUCACACUCAGAACACAAUGAGUGCUUAUAUCUCUUUUUUCAAAAUGCUGUGAGAACAUAAGCAAAGGAGAAGCUGACUCGCUGCUAUGCUAUGAUCCCACGUUCCCACUAAAAGUGCUGCUGUAAUUUAUAGCCCUUCUUGUUCGUAUCUCCUAGAGUAAUUUUAGCACUGCCAUCAAGGAAAGUGAUAUAUGUGAAUCAAUUACUAACUGAGGCUACUAGGAUAACAGCACCUGAGAAAUGCUUUGUCUGAAGGAGGGAAGUGCGUGGCUUGGAACCUGACUGAAGAGAAUACAAAAAGAAAAAAAAAGAAAAAAAAGUUGUAAAAGGAAAAUAAUACAGUUUGAUAGCCUGAAGUAAAAUAAAUCUUUAGUCUUUCCCUGUGAAUUUGCACAGUUAACCACCUGGACAGUGAUCAGUUUUGUUGCAUACCGUCUUGUUGGGCCUUAAUUCAAGAGUCUAUUUCCUUUCUGUGGCACACGGAAACAAAGGCUUAACCUCAGGAACUCUUAAGCCUCAGUAACUGGUUUCAAAAAUUUCACUACUUCCACCCUCUGCAAAAAUAAAAGAAGGAUUCAUUCUCAUGCUGCUCAUCCUUUUGGUCUCCAUUUUAAAAUGGAGGAAAAAGGAACACCUGGACAAAUAUCUAUGGCCUCUUUCAGUUUUGAUGGUGCAGAACAAAAUUUGUGUCCCAUCAAUGCUGUGCUGCAUCCAGUCACAAGAUACGGGAUAACUUUAGUACUGAAAGAUUUUGGAAAAUUCCAUACAAAUGAGGCCUAGCCUUAUAAGCCUUAGAGGUAAUUAUGGUGUUUCUUUCCAUUUAGCUUUGAAUUAACAUUUGUUUGAAAUAAGAAUGAGCUUUUACUCCUUUUCUGUCUUUUUUUUUCUCCUCAAUCUCUCUUUCUUUCCUUCUCUCUUUCUUUCCUUCUUUCUUUCUCUUUCUUUCUUUCUUUCUUUCUUUCUUUCUUUCUUUCUUUCUUUCUUUCUUUCUUUCUUUCUUCAUUUUUUUUUAAGCUUUGAAGACAUUUUUUUCAUUUGGGAAUUGGAAUCUGUCCAUUUAUAAUUUAGUGAGAGGGCUCUAUUACUUAUUUUGUAUUAUUACCAUAAGUAGUAAACUUUUGCAAAUUCAGUACGGAUAAAUCUCUCUAUGUAAUCUAGAAUAAUUGGAAAGUGAAACAGAAAUAGCCUCACUCAGUAAUAAGAAGAUCUCUGCAACAUAAGUGUAAGGUUUUGUCAUGAUUUUUCUACAUACAUGAUUUAAUAGGUCUCUGUUUAAAUAAGUCAGUGAAAUGGAAUUUACAAUGAUUUUUAUUCUUUUUCAUUCUUAUUUCCUUUAAACACCUAGCUGGACAGACUACAGAACUCUCUUUAGAACUAGCUAGGUAGUAGCUAAUAAUGUCCUGUUGAAAGCAAGUUUCUGUUCUCAGCUUGUAAGGGUGGAAAUAUUUUAACUUAGUUCUCAGGGGUGAAAUUCUGCCCCAUUGAAGUUUUGCCAUUAAUUUCAGCUGGGCCAGAAUUUCACCCCAGGUCUGCAAAAUGAGCUUCCAUAUGUACAGUAAAAUAUCUGAGUUUUGGCCAGCUUUUCACCUCUCAUUGCCAGCAGUAUGCAAAGAACAAAUACAUACAGGAAAGAAAUCUUUGCAAAAGUCUCAAACUUGAAAAAAAAAAAAAAAAAAAAAAAAAGAAAGAGAGAGAGAGAACAAAGGAUUUAUAGAAAUGGAGAGAAACUCUACAUGUAAACGUAAAAUGACAGUAUUGAUAAAGUUGCAUGGAGACAGAGUAGCAAACAAACGUUCAGGAUAUCUUCCAGGUUCACCAGUAAUGUAUGUGGUUAUUUUGGACAAAACUGUGCAGAUUUCUUCCUGAAUAAAUGUAGGAAUAAAUUUGAGUUCAUACAGAGAAUAUACAUGAAUACACUAUAUAGUUUUGUCUUUCUUUUUUUCUGGUAAAUACUGUACAUUCAUUGUUCAUUUUUGACAUUUUGCAAUGUACAAUUUAAAGAGUUGUCUUUACCAUUUGUGUAGUUUAAAAUACACUGAUUGGGCAUCUUUGUGAUGCUAUAACUGGAAGCAAAUACACCAGUCUAUUCAAAGCAACCUUGAAGGAACCAUUCCACAAAACAAAACCAUUCUCUCUGGAAUGAAAGCCAUAGGGCAUGUGCCUGCAUCCCAGGAUAUUAUGAAGAGUCCAUAAAGUAAGGAGGGCUCCAAACCCAGCAGCUCUUAUCUGAUUUUGUUUUCAGGAGAAAUUUCUCAACAGCUAGAAAAAUUGACUACAGUUUAUGAGAAAUAUCAUAAAUACUUAAAAAACCAAACGUAACUAUUUACAGUUGUAGUUUCUGAAAUGAGACCUUUUAGAAAGGCUUGAUAACAUUUGUUGUUGUGUAAUUACAUUUCUUUAGGAUCUGACUUAGUUCAUGUGAUGGAAUUUUAUUACUUAAAAUGACGUCUUACUACGAUAAGCUGUGUAGGAAUGAAAUACAUGAAUUGUGUUCCCAAGAGAAAUGAAUUAACAGAGUUUACAGCCAAGAGGUAUCAUUAGAAUAUUUACCUAGAACUCCCAUACAUUACAGGCCUUUAAUUGUCACCUGCUUACUCUUAUAUAAAAAUUAUAAUUUCUCAUUCUACUUCAGUUUAAAUACAUAUUCCAGAAGGACAAUCUACCAGUUCAGUCAGUGGUUUAUUAUAUUUUAACAGUUCCCCGGUUAAAAAUUUACCCCUAACUUUUAGUGUGAUGUGAUGCCUUUCUCUGCUAGAUCAGAGAGAGUUCAUACUACCCAUUUUCUUCUCCCUGGGAAAUGGCUCAUACUUACUGUCUUUCGUUCUUUAUGAUCAAAUAGACAGCUUGUGAUCUUUUAAGUCUCUUUAUGGACAUAGUUUUCAUCAUUUUCAAAAUGUCUGAAGCUUUCUUCUGAACACUCUCUGGCUUUUCUACAGCAACUGAAAGAUGCAGUCACCAGAGAAGCGUG